GCCAAUCAGCAGCAGACUCUCCCUCCCAGACCCUCCCACCUCCUGGACAGCUCACUAAGAAUGCAGCUUCACAAUGAAUGUAAAAUGGAUGCUGUCCAGGAGGUGGGAGGGUCUGGGAGGGAGGGUCUGCUGCUGAUUGUCU
rnacentral:miRNA from 1 species